AGCGAACGCUGGCGGCAUGCUUAACACAUGCAAGUCGCACGGGCAGCAAUGUCAGUGGCGGACGGGUGAGUAACGCGUAGGAACGUGUCCUGAGGUGGGGGACAACCCCGGGAAACUGGGGCUAAUACCGCAUAUGGGCUGAGGCCCAAAGCCGAGAGGCGCCUUUGGAGCGGCCUGCGUCCGAUUAGGUAGUUGGUGGGGUAAAGGCCUACCAAGCCUGCGAUCGGUAGCUGGUCGGCGAGGACGCCCAGCCACACUGGGCCUGAGACACGGCCCAGACUCCUGCUGCCGGCAUCCGUGGGGCGUGUUGGGCCCUGGGCGCCCGCCUGCUCCAGCCAUGCCGCGUGGGUGAAGAAGGUCUUCGGAUCGUAAAGCCCUUUCGCCGGGGCCGAUGCUGCCGGUCCCCGUCGCCGCCGCCCCGGCUCCCUUCGUG
rnacentral:rRNA from 1 species